rnacentral:rRNA from 1 species
GGAAUAGCCACUGGAAACGGUGAGUAAUACCCUAUGUGCCCUUCGGGGGAAAGAUUUAUCGCCUUUGGAUCGGCCCGCGUUAGAUUAGAUAGUUGGUGGGGUAACGGCCUACCAAGUCUACGAUCUAUAGCUGGUUUUAGAGGAUGAUCAGCAACACUGGGACUGAGACACGGCCCAGACUCCUACGGGAGGCAGCAGUGGGGAAUCUUGGACAAUGGGGGCAACCCUGAUCCAGCCAUGCCGCGUGUGUGAAGAAGGCCUUCGGGUUGUAAAG